rnacentral:tRNA from 1 species
CGGGGUGUAGCGCAGCCUGGCUAGCGCAUCUGGUUUGGGACCAGAGGGUCGGAGGUUCGAAUCCUCUCACCCCGA